rnacentral:rRNA from 1 species
UAUCCGGACUUGAUUCGGGCUCGGCCCGAUCCUCCCA